rnacentral:rRNA from 1 species
AGAGUUUGAUCCUGGCUCAGAAUCAACGCUGGCGGCGUGCCUAACACAUGCAAGUCGCACGAGAAAGGGGAGCAAUCCCUGAGUACAGUGGCGCACGGGUGAGUAACACGUGACUAACCUACCUUCGAGUGGGGAAUAACCUGGGGAAACCCGGGCUAAUACCGCAUAACACUUACGAGUCAAGGCAGCAAUGUGCUUGAAGAGGGGGUCGCGGCCGAUUAGCUAGUUGGCGGGGUAAUGGCCCACCAAGGCUUUGAUCGGUAUCCGGCCUGAGAGGGCGCACGGACACACUGGAACUGAAACACGGUCCAGACUCCUACGGGAGGCGAC